CUACCAUGCAGUCGAACGAUGAAGCCCAGCUUGCUGGGUGGAUUAGUGGCGAACGGGUGAGUAACACGUGAGUAACCUGCCCUUGACUCUGGGAUAAGCCUGGGAAACUGGGUCUAAUACCGGAUAGGAACGUCCACCGCAUGGUGGGUGUUGGAAAGAUUUAUCGGUCAUGGAUGGACUCGCGGCCUAUCAGCUUGUUGGUGAGGUAAUGGCUCACCAAGGCGACGACGGGUAGCCGGCCUGAGAGGGUGACCGGCCACACUGGGACUGAGACACGGCCCAGACUCCUACGGGAGGCAGCAGUGGGGAAUAUUGCACAAUGGGCGAAAGCCUGAUGCAGCGACGCCGCGUGAGGGAUGACGGCCUUCGGGUUGUAAACCUCUUUCAGUAGGGAAGAAGCGAAAGUGACGGUACCUGCAGAAGAAGCACCGGCUAACUACGUGCCAGCAGCCGCGGUAAUACGUAGGGUGCGAGCGUUAUCCGGAAUUAUUGGGCGUAAAGAGCUCGUAGGCGGUUUGUCGCGUCUGUCGUGAAAGUCCGGGGCUUAACCCCGGAUCUGCGGUGGGUACGGGCAGACUAGAGUGCAGUAGGGGAGACUGGAAUUCCUGGUGUAGCGGUGGAAUGCGCAGAUAUCAGGAGGAACACCGAUGGCGAAGGCAGGUCUCUGGGCUGUAACUGACGCUGAGGAGCGAAAGCAUGGGGAGCGAACAGGAUUAGAUACCCUGGUAGUCCAUGCCGUAAACGUUGGGCACUAGGUGUGGGGACCAUUCCACGGUUUCCGCGCCGCAGCUAACGCAUUAAGUGCCCCGCCUGGGGAGUACGGCCGCAAGGCUAAAACUCAAAGGAAUUGACGGGGGCCCGC
rnacentral:rRNA from 1 species